CUGUGCACAGCUGCGGUGGCGUGCGACGCCUUCAUCCUCCAUCCAGUCGGACCCGGUCGCCGACGCCGCCUGGACCCGGUGCCGACGCCUCUCCGACCCCGCCGUCGACGCUGCCCUGACGCAGCCACCGAUGCCACCGCAAGCCAUCCCCCAACCCGGCUGCCGACGCCGCUCCAAGUUAGCCCCCGAUCUGGCCUCCUCCCUCUCCCUCUGCACCGGAUUGCAGGCGACCUCCGGCCAUAUUCACCAGGCCUGCGUGCUACUCCAUUGAAGGUGAACCCCAACUCUUCAGCCCCAUUAGGCUAUUACCAUUGCUGAUAAAAAGAUAUACAAAUGAUAGAAUAGGAAGAUUCUCCUAUGGGCUGAUCCGCUGAUGAUGAUGAUGUGAAUUCACACAAUGAGGUCUAGUCGUCUUGGUUGCAUGGAGAAUGCAAUAUAUUUGUAUAUUGCUCCAAUGAAAUUUGUUGACAGAUUGCAUAAUCUAAUUUGUUAAUCGUCUCUAUAUUUGAAAUACUGAAAAACAAGGAUCUUGGUUCACGUGAUUCACAAUUGCAAGGAUCUUGCUUACUAAUAACUAUUGCUGAACACAAUAAUCCUUCUCUGUUGUAUAUUAUGACAGUCUGAUGGAAAAUACGAUGGAUCUGUUGUUGUAGGAUAUGUUUCUCAGAAGAUCCAAUCACUAACUAUAUUCAGAAUUGCUUUGUUUGGCUCUUGUUUUUGCAGUGAAUAGUAGUAGUCACUCAAUUAUUGAUCUAAACAAAGUCCCUCUGAUGUAGUUGUCGGCUAGGAUAAAACUUGAGUUCUAUGCUAGAUUGUGCUUUUCAUGUGCUCUAGGCUGUAAUUUGUUUCUUCAAUUUAUUCUGAAAUUAACCUACCGUCAUAGUACCAUGUGCAAUGGAUUAUUAUCAUACUGUUUGUUUGCCUUAUGAACUGUUGAACUACUUUAUUUAGACCCCAAUUAUUUGUUAGCAUUCUGAGUUAGUGUGACAUUAAAAAUUUUCUAGUUAUGUAUCUUGUUUGAUCUCCUUUUCCAUAUCUGCCAAUCUGAGGGUCAUGUUGACAAUUACGAUGUCAGAACUGAUGUCUGAUGUGCAAGUAACUCAGAUGAGAUCUGAUGGUUUUCUUGAAGAAAGUGGUAAAACUCGGCGUCUUAGGAAAUCACUGGAGGAAAUGGCUGAUGUGAGAAGCAAGGAUCUGUUAAAAGAAUGUGGCCUCCCUGUUAUUGCAUUGGCAUUGGAGGCGGCUCCUGAAGAUUCCAGUGAUAAUAGGUGGUUUUGGGUAGAGGUGAAACAGCUGUCUAAAUGCCUAGUCCUGGACCUUGAUGCUGGUCUAGAACACGCGCUCUUGGUAAGCAAAUUUCACCAUUAAUCCUACUGUGCUAUUGAUGAUUUGUUGUGGCAAACUUUCAACAGAAUAUCUGAGAAGGCUCUGUUGUGAAAAAAAUUCAAUUCAAAACUAAAACAAUAAGGUAGUCUACCCCCAACUUGUUUUAGACUUUUAGUUCUGAAGGUGAUCAACUACCAAGACUUCAAAGCCCGCAAAGGAUACUCCAAGGAAGUGCGGCUGUUCAGGUUAAUAGUGGAGUAUUAAGUGUCUGCACAUCAUUAUUAUCUGGUUAGCCUGCGACUAGGCUCUGAUCAAAUGAACUGUAGCAGAUCAUCGCUGAUUUACUUGAAUUCAUGGCUGUCUGCAAACUCGCAAUUUGCGUGCAUUUCAGAUUGAUAGGUGAAGAAGACCAAGAAUUCCACACCCAACUCGUCAAUGGCUUUCAGUCAUUUACCGCAGAGCUAUCUCACUAUAUCCCAGCUAUACUCUUGGAGCUCUGACAAUGUUCUAGCAUGUCAGGAAAUUAGGUAGCAUGCGAAUGGUUGUUGGUUCUUUCGAUUGUGGGUCCCUACCAAAUGUCCAUAUGCUACUGCUAGAAGUAGUCAUGUCAAAUGCCUGUGUAAAUUAGCUCUGUGUGUGUAUAGUAUUCUAAAAAUUUUGAAGGAAAAAAAGACCAUGUAAAUUAACCGCUGGAAGUAGUCAUGCCAAAUGCCUGUGUAAAUUAGCUCUGUGUGU